rnacentral:lncRNA from 1 species
GUGGGACCCGGGGGGCCCUGCGGCCGGUGUGUCCUGCUCUGGUGGGGGCCUGUGCUCCCCAGGAGGGGCUGGAGGGCAGAGGGGGAAGCCCUGGGAGUUUCUGGGGUCUGGGGCUGGCCCUGCAUGGUCCCCUGGUGACUCUCUUGGUGGCCUGGGGCAGGGUGUCACCAAUGUGCCCUGGCUUUCACCGUGCUGGAGGCACUGCUCAGCCCGGCAGCCCUCUCCACUCUCAGACUUGCUUAGCUGAAACUACACAGACUUGUAGAAUUUAGCUUUUAAUUGUGGCAAAAUAGGGGCACUCGGGUGGCUCUGUCUGUCAAGCGUCGGGCUCUUAUUUCAGCCCUGGGCACGAUCUCACAGUGCGUGGGAUCGAGCCCCGCAUCGGGCUCUGUGCGGAUGAUGUGGAGCCUGCUUGGGAUCCCUUCUCUCCUUCUCUCUCUGCCCCUCCCCUGCUCGUUCUCUCUCUCUUUCUCAAAAUAAAUAAAAAUAAACUUAAAAGAAAUAAUUGUGGCGAAACGUACAAAACACAAAAAUUUCCGAGCAUCUACACUGAUGCAGCCGACCCACCGGCCAUCACGUCACCCUCCCAAACCGGAGCUCUGUCCCCAGGAAACACGCCCUCCCUGCCCUGUCUGACCUCCAGGCCUCGGGGGCCCUGGGGGGAGCCGAAUGGGUGCUCUUGGACGCCUUCCUUGUCUUUACCGUGGUUUUACCACUGCGCUGGAGACUUGGGCUGGCCUGUCUCCUGUCUUCCUGCGAGCUGCCCGCCGCCCCACGCCCUCCUGUGCCUGCCCUUGGCCAUCCAGAAACGCCCCGGACACGUUCGGCAGCCACUGGCUGGCUCCCACUUGGCGUCUGCAUCUCGGUGGCCCCCUCCCCGCCUUGCCGUCCCUCUGGCUCCCCUCCUGCACGCAGAGGCUGGGGCUGCUCCCAGGACGCGGGGGUCCGGCUCCCCUGCCCCUCAGAUGGUACCCACCCCGCCCGUCGGCUGGUGUGGCACACGGCCACGGAGUCUCGCCGUGCUGUGUUUGCUCGGACGGAGGUGUUUGAGUUCCAAACACCUGCAGCCCCACCUGGUGCCGCCUGGGCGGGUCCAAGCGGGCGCAGGGGCUCUGCCUCCCGGAGCCACGAGGCACGGCUUU